GACGAACGCUGGCGGCGUGCUUAACACAUGCAAGUCGAACGGUGAAAGCGGAGCUUGCUCCGCUGGAUCAGUGGCGAACGGGUGAGUAACACGUGGGCAACCUGCCCCUCACUUCGGGAUAACUCCGGGAAACCGGGGCUAAUACCGGAUAUGACCUCCUUGGGCAUCCUUGGAGGUGGAAAGUUUUUCGGUGAGGGAUGGGCCCGCGGCCUAUCAGCUUGUUGGUGAGGUAGUGGCUCACCAAGGCGACGACGGGUAGCCGGCCUGAGAGGGCGACCGGCCACACUGGGACUGAGACACGGCCCAGACUCCUACGGGAGGCAGCAGUAGGGAAUCUUCCGCAAUGGACGAAAGUCUGACGGAGCAACGCCGCGUGAGUGAAGAAGGUUUUCGGAUCGUAAAACUCUGUUGUCAGGGAAGAACAAGUACCAUAGUAACUGAUGGUACCUUGACGGUACCUGACCAGAAAGCCACGGCUAACUACGUGCCAGCCGCCGCGGUAA
rnacentral:rRNA from 1 species